rnacentral:rRNA from 1 species
ACGUAGGGAGCCAGCGUUGUCCGGAUUUACUGGGCGUAAAGAGCGCGUAGGCGGUUUGGUAAGCGGAGGGUGAAAUCCCGGGGCUCAACUCCGGAACUGUUCUCCGAACUGUCAGACUAGAGUACGGGAGAGGGCAGUGGAAUUCCUGGUGUAGCGGUGGAAUGCGUAAAUAUCAGGAGGAACACCGGUGGCGAAGGCUGCUGCCUGGAACGUAACUGACGCUGAGGCGCGAAAGCUAGGGGAGCGAACGG